AUGGCGCCCUCCAGCCUGCUGUGGGCACUGGUGGCCUUCACCUGCUCUGAAUCCAGUGUGGCCCAGAAAGUUAUUCAAGAUCAAUCAACUACAACCAAACAAGAGGGGUCAGAAGUCAUCCUGAAGUGUCGCUAUGAAACAAGUUGGAGUUACUACUCCCUGUAUUGGUACAAGCAGCUUCCUGAUGGAAAGAUGAGUUAUAUUAUUUCUCAGUAUUCUGCUUCUGCCAAAAACGCAGCAGAGGGUCGCUAUACUAUAACGUUCCAGAAGGCAGACAAAGCCAUCUCCCUCAAAAUUGUGUCCUUACAAUUGGAUGACUCAGCCAAGUAUUUCUGUGCCCUCAGGGACGCACUGUGUCUGAAGUGA